rnacentral:rRNA from 1 species
AGAGUUUGAUCCUGGCUCAGGAUGAACGCUGGCGGCGUGCUUAACACAUGCAAGUCGAACGAUUAAACCAACUUCGGUUGGAUAUAAAGUGGCGAACGGGUGAGUAACACGUGACCAACCUACCCCGUGCACCGGGACAACCACCGGAAACAGUGGCUAAUACCGGAUAAUGCUAGAUAAGCGCAUGUUUUUCUAGCCAAAGCACAUACGGCACGGGAUGGGGUCGCGGCCCAUCAGGUUGUAGGCGGGGUAACGGCCCACCUAGCUUUCGACGGGUAGCCGAGCUGAGAGGCUGAUCGGCCACAUUGGGACUGAGAUACGGCCCAGACUCCUACGGGAGGCAGCAGUGGGGAAUUUUGCGCAAUGGGGAAACCCUGACGCAGCAACGCCGCGUGCGGAAUGAAAGGCCUUCGGGUUGUAAACCGCUUUCCAGUAGGAAAAGAACACAAUGACGGUACCUACAGAAAAACCCCCGGGUUAACUACGUGCCCAGCAGCCCGCGGGAAAUACGUUAGGGGGGCAAGCGUUAUCCCGGAUUCAUUGGGGCGUAAAGCGCGCGUAGGGGGGACAUCUAAGCGGGGACUCUAUUCCGAAGGCUCAACCUUUACGGCCGGGUUCCGAACUGGAUGUCUCGAGUUGGGUAGGGGAGGUCGGAAUUCCCGGUGUAAGCGGUGGAAUGCGCAAAUAUCGGGAAAACACCGAUGGCGAAGGCAGACCUCUGGGCCCUUUACUGACACUAAGCGCGAAAGUGGGGGAGCAACAGGAUUAGAUACCUGGUAGUCCCAGCGUAACGAUGGGCG